GACGAACGCUGGCGGCGUGCCUAAUACAUGCAAGUAGAACGCUGAAGGAGGAGCUUGCUUCUCUGGAUGAGUUGCGAACGGGUGAGUAACGCGUAGGUAACCUGCCUGGUAGCGGGGGAUAACUAUUGGAAACGAUAGCUAAUACCGCAUAAGAGUAGAUGUCGCAUGACAUUUGCUUAAAAGGUGCAAUUGCAUCACUACCAGAUGGACCUGCGUUGUAUUAGCUAGUUGGUGAGGUAACGGCUCACCAAGGCAACGAUACAUAGCCGACCUGAGAGGGUGAUCGGCCACACUGGGACUGAGACACGGCCCAGACUCCUACGGGAGGCAGCAGUAGGGAAUCUUCGGCAAUAGACGGAAGUCUGACCGAGCAACGCCGCGUGAGUGAAGAAGGUUUUCGGAUCGUAAAGCUCUGUUGUAAGAGAAGAACGAGUGUGAGAGUGGAAAGUUCACACUGUGACGGCAUCUUACCAGAAAGGGACGGCUAACUACGUG
rnacentral:rRNA from 1 species